rnacentral:rRNA from 1 species
GGGGAGCCGGAGGGAAACCGAGUCUUAAUUGGGCGUUAAGUUGCAGGGUAUAGACCCGAAACCCGGUGAUCUAGCCAUGGGCAGGUUGAAGGUUGGGUAACACUAACUGGAGGACCGAACCGACUAAUGUUGAAAAAUUAGCGGAUGACCUGUGGCUGGGGGUGAAAGGCCAAUCAAACCGGGAGAUAGCUGGUUCUCCCCGAAAGCUAUUUAGGUAGCGCCUCGUGAAUUCAUCUCCGGGGGUAGAGCACUGUUUCGGCUAGGGGGCCAUCCCGGCUUACCAACCCGAUGCAAACUGCGAAUACCGGAGAAUGUUAUCACGGGAGACACACGGCGGGUGCUAACGUCCGUCGUGAAGAGGGAAACAACCCAGACCGCCAGCUAAGGUCCCAAAGUCAUGGUUAAGUGGGAAACGAUGUGGGAAGGCCCAGACAGCCAGGAUGUUGGCUUAGAAGCAGCCAUCAUUUAAAGAAAGCGUAAUAGCUCACUGGUCGAGUCGGCCUGCGCGGAAGAUGUAACGGGGCUAAACCAUGCACCGAAGCUGCGGCAGCGACACUCAGGUGUUGUUGGGUAGGGGAGCGUUCUGUAAGCCUGCGAAGGUGGCCUGUGAGGGUUGCUGGAGGUAUCAGAAGUGCGAAUGCUGACAUAAGUAACGAUAAAGCGGGUGAAAAGCCCGCUCGCCGGAAGACCAAGGGUUCCUGUCCAACGUUAAUCGGGGCAGGGUGAGUCGACCCCUAAGGCGAGGCCGAAAGGCGUAGUCGAUGGGAAACGGGUUAAUAUUCCCGUACUUGGUGUUACUGCGAAGGGGGGACGGAGAAGGCUAUGUUGGCCGGGCGACGGUUGUCCCGGUUUAAGCGUGUAGGUGUGUGUUCCAGGUAAAUCCGGUUCACUUUAACACUGAGGCGUGACGACGAGGCACUACGGUGCUGAAGCAACAAAUGCCCUGCUUCCAGGAAAAGCCUCUAAGCAUCAGGUAACAUCAAAUCGUACCCCAAACCGACACAGGUGGUCAGGUAGAGAAUACCAAGGCGCUUGAGAGAACUCGGGUGAAGGAACUAGGCAAAAUGGUGCCGUAACUUCGGGAGAAGGCACGCUGACAUGUAGGUGAAGUGAUUUACUCAUGGAGCUGAAGUCAGUCGAAGAUACCAGCUGGCUGCAACUGUUUAUUAAAAACACAGCACUGUGCAAACACGAAAGUGGACGUAUACGGUGUGACGCCUGCCCGGUGCCGGAAGGUUAAUUGAUGGGGUCAGCGCAAGCGAAGCUCCUGAUCGAAGCCCCGGUAAACGGCGGCCGUAACUAUAACGGUCCUAAGGUAGCGAAAUUCCUUGUCGGGUAAGUUCCGACCUGCACGAAUGGCGUAAUGAUGGCCAGGCUGUCUCCACCCGAGACUCAGUGAAAUUGAACUCGCUGUGAAGAUGCAGUGUACCCGCGGCAAGACGGAAAGACCCCGUGAACCUUUACUAUAGCUUGACACUGAACAUUGAGCCUUGAUGUGUAGGAUAGGUGGGAGGCUUUGAAGUGUGGACGCCAGUCUGCAUGGAGCCGACCUUGAAAUACCACCCUUUAAUGUUUGAUGUUCUAACGUGGACCCGUGAUCCGGGUUGCGGACAGUGUCUGGUGGGUAGUUUGACUGGGGCGGUCUCCUCCUAAAGAGUAACGGAGGAGCACGAAGGUUGGCUAAUCCUGGUCGGACAUCAGGAGGUUAGUGCAAUGGCAUAAGCCAGCUUGACUGCGAGCGUGACGGCGCGAGCAGGUGCGAAAGCAGGUCAUAGUGAUCCGGUGGUUCUGAAUGGAAGGGCCAUCGCUCAACGGAUAAAAGGUACUCCGGGGAUAACAGGCUGAUACCGCCCAAGAGUUCAUAUCGACGGCGGUGUUUGGCACCUCGAUGUCGGCUCAUCACAUCCUGGGGCUGAAGUAGGUCCCAAGGGUAUGGCUGUUCGCCAUUUAAAGUGGUACGCGAGCUGGGUUUAGAACGUCGUGAGACAGUUCGGUCCCUAUCUGCCGUGGGCGCUGGAGAACUGAGGGGGGCUGCUCCUAGUACGAGAGGACCGGAGUGGACGCAUCACUGGUGUUCGGGUUGUCAUGCCAAUGGCACUGCCCGGUAGCUAAAUGCGGAAGAGAUAAGUGCUGAAAGCAUCUAAGCACGAAACUUGCCCCGA